rnacentral:rRNA from 1 species
GACAGAGGGUGCAAACGUUGCUCGGAAUCACUGGGCGUAAAGGGCGUGUAGGCGGGAAGGAAAGUCGGACGUGAAAUCCCCAGGCUCAACCUGGGAACUGCGCUCGAAACUCCCUUUCUUGAGUGCCGGAGAGGAAAGCGGAAUUCCUGGUGUAGAGGUGAAAUUCGUAGAUAUCAGGAGGAACACCAGUGGCGAAGGCGGCUUUCUGGACGGUAACUGACGCUGAGACGCGAAAGCGUGGGGAGCAAACGGG